UCGAGCAGGUGGCCGGCCGCGCUCUCCUCAUCGUGGGGUGGGGCGGGGGCGCCCCGAGAGCCGCGCGCGGAGACCCGGGGAGGGCGGCGGGACCCUGGCGGAGAAAGGAGCCGGCGCGGCUCAGGUUAAUAUUAAAAUUGGAAGUUUGUGUCUUUUGCUGGAUAUUGGAAAUUGAAUGUAAUGGCAACAGAAUUUAUAAAGAGUUGCUGCGGAGGGUGUUUCUAUGGUGAAACAGAAAAACACAACUUUUCAGAGGAAAGAGACUUUAAAGCAGCAGUCUCAAAUAGUCAACAUAUUAUCUGUGUACCUCC